GUGCCAGCAGCUGCGGUAAUACGGAGGGUGCAAGCGUUAAUCGGAAUUACUGGGCGUAAAGCGCACGCAGGCGGUUGAUUAAGUCAGAUGUGAAAUCCCCGGGCUCAACCCGGGAACUGCAUCUGAUACUGGUCAGCUUGAGUCUCGUAGAGGGAGGUAGAAUUCCAGGUGUAGCGGUGAAAUGCGUAGAGAUCUGGAGGAAUACCGGUGGCGAAGGCGGCCUCCUGGACGAAGACUGACGCUCAGGUGCGAAAGCGUGGGGAGCAAACAGGAUUAGAUACCCUGGUAGUCCACGCUGUAAACGAUGUCGAUUGAGUUGUGCCAUGAGGCGUGGCUUCCGGAGCUAACGCGUUAAAUCGACCGCCUGGGGAGUACGGCCGACAAGGUUAAACUCAAAUGAAUUGACGGGGCCCGCGACAAGCGGUGGAGCAUGUGGUUUAAUUCGAUGCAACGCGAAGAACCUUACCUAGGUCUUGACAUCCACAGAA
rnacentral:rRNA from 1 species